UAGGGAAUCUUCGGCAAUGGACGAAAGUCUGACCGAGCAACGCCGCGUGAGUGAAGAAGGUUUUCGGAUCGUAAAACUCUGUUGUUAGAGAAGAACAAGGACGUUAGUAACUGAACGUCCCCUGACGGUAUCUAACCAGAAAGCCACGGCUAACUACGUGCCAGCAGCCGCGGUAAUACGUAGGUGGCAAGCGUUGUCCGGAUUUAUUGGGCGUAAAGCGAGCGCAGGCGGUUUCUUAAGUCUGAUGUGAAAGCCCCCGGCUCAACCGGGGAGGGUCAUUGGAAACUGGGAGGCUUGAGUUCAGAAGAGGGGGGUGGAAUUCCAUGUGUAGCGGUGAAAUGCGUAGAUAUAUGGAGGAACACCAGUGGCGAAGGCGGCUCUCUGGUCUGUAACUGACGCUGAGGCUCGAAAGCGUGGGCAGCAAACAGG
rnacentral:rRNA from 1 species